rnacentral:rRNA from 1 species
UGUGAUGGGGAGCGAAAUUUAGUAGCGAAGUAGCUGAUUUCACACUGUCAAGAAAAGUCUCUAUCGAGGUUAAAGGUACCCGUACCGCAAACCGACACAGGUGGGUGAGGAGAGUAUCCUAAGGCCAGCGAGAGAACUGUUGUUAAGGAACUCGGCAAAAUGACCCCGUAACUUAGGGAUAAGGGGUGCCACCAUCAGGUGGCCGCAGAGAAUAGGCCCAAGCGACUGUUUACCAAAAACAUAGGUUUCUGCUAAGUCGCAAGACGAUGUAUAGGAGCUGACGCCUGCCCGGUGCUGGAAGGUUAAGGGGAUCUGUUAGAGCAAUCGAAGCAGUGAACUUAAGCCCCAGUAAACGGCGGCCGUAACUAUAACGGUCCUAAGGUAGCGAAAUUCCUUGUCGGGUAAGUUCCGACCCGCACGAAAGGCGUAACGAUUUGGGCACUGUCUCAACAACAGACUCGGUGAAAUUGUAAUUCCGGUGAAGAUGCCGGAUACCUGCGACAGGACGGAAAGACCCCAUGGAGCUUUACUGUAGCUUGACAUUGGGUCUUGGUACUACAUGUACAGGAUAGGUGGGAGGCUUUGAAACCAGGACG